rnacentral:lncRNA from 1 species
GGCAUUAUUGAGUGAUUUUCAAGUAGUAGAAGAAGUUAAAAUAUAUAUAUAUAUAGGCAUUUUUUUUCCCACUCUUUUUUUGUUUUGGGGACGUCCCAUUAGGCAUUAUAUCAAACAUCUUUAUUUGUCAGUCACGUUACCAUACCUAGAUCUACAUUACGUGUAAUAUUGUGGUAAAAAGUUUAUCGUUACAAAUUCUAUGAAUACAUAAGAAUUAAGAACUAUAUACAUAUGGCUCUCUCUUCCACAGUACUUUUUCUCUGAAAAAGUAUAGGAAUGAAAGAUGACUGAAGCCCCUGUGGCUUUCUCAAUCACCCACUAGUUGGGUGUUCUCUACAAUUUUAUUUCUGCAACGCAUUUAAUUUCGGUGGUUAGAAAUUUGGUGAGAAGAUUUAUUCAUAGAAUCACAGCAACUAAUGGAUGCUGAGGAAUUAUUACGCAAGUGUUAGGCGAGUGUUUCAAAAGAAGAGGAGACCGACAUAGUAACAUUCAUGGGGCGGAUGAAGAUAAAGGGAGAGGAGGUAGCUGCAAAUUAUUUAGUAGGCAAAGUGCUAACAUCAAGAAGUAUAAACAAGGAGGGCUUGAAAGUUGCAAUGCAAAUGGCUUGGAGAACUGUCAAAGAGGUUAAAAUAGAAAGUAUGGGGGAUAAUAUUUUCCUGUUCAAGUUCGCAUCCGAAGAAGAAAAGAAAAGGGUGCUCAUGGGAGGGCCGUGGCAUUUCGACAGAGCAUUGAUAGUUCUGACCGAACCAACAGGGAUUGGAGACAUCAAAAAUCAAUCUUUUACACAUGCCACAUUUUGGGUUCAGUUUCAUAACAUACCAAUAAUGUGUAUGAACAAGGAGGCCAUCCAAAAGUUGGGAGAAAAAAUUGGUACAGUCAAAGAAGUGGAGACAGACAACGCUGGGGAAUGUUUUGGGCAGUUUGCUAGAGCCCGGAUAUCCAUUGAUAUUUCACAGCCUCUAAAAAAGAUUGUAUUCCUUCAACAAGCGGAUGGCAAAACUCCAAUGCCAAUUUUGUAUGAAAAACUUCCAGAUUUUUGCUUUUGUUGUGCUCAUAUCGGUCACCAGUACAGGGAAUGCUUGCGAUACAAAGGACAACAAAAGGAGGACUUGCCUUAUGGUGGUUGGAUGCGAGCUGUUACACAAGCUGACAGGAUAAAGCAAAAACGAAGUAGGGAGAAAGGCAAUCGAGAGCAAUCUAAUCUCAAUGAAAAUGUGCAAGCUCAACGAAAAUGUGCAAGUACCAACCAGUCCAAGCUCAAACAACCCGAUUGAUCAAGACGGGUCAAAAUUGAACAAUUCGGAUCGAGAAAUAAGAGAUGGAGCAAAACCAGAGGAUACAAGAAACCUGCUGAUCUCUGACAAAACGCAUUUAAUGUUGACCUCUCCAGAGACAAAAAACCAGCAAGUGGGGAGUCAGAGUAUGGGUUGUGACAUCGACGAGGUGCAGAAUAGGGUGGCAAGUAAUUAUUGCCACUAUAGCUAUGAAAGUACAAAGGCGGGAGAAAAGAUUUUGAAGGAGAACGAAAAUCCUGUGGAUAAAAUAGGAUGGGCAAUACCAAAAGAUAAAAGGAAGCAGAUUGACGAGAGCGCCAGAUCUGAUGUGGAAGAAAUGGAUAGUGGGCCAAGCAAGACCAAUACGAAGCCCAAAGCGAGAAAAUGGAAACUUAAGGCAAGAAUUCCCAUAGCCAAAGGAGCGAAGAAUCAUGGGUUAAUAGGAGCAAAAAGACUUAGCAGUGAUGACCAUCAGCUCAGCCCACAACACAAAAAAAAGUGAGUUCUCAGUCCACCAAAACAAUCACACGUGGGAAACCACACAAGCUUAGCAAUUAACUCAGACUACAGCAACUUCAUUAGCUUAAACAGACCAGCCCGGAAGCUACAGAUAACAGAAGAGAUAUCAGAUGAAGGGGAUUAUGUGGCAGCUAUGGAAGAAGAAGUAUCGGCAUGUGCUGAAUUUCAGGCCCGCCGACAACCAUGAAACUCUUAAGUUGGAACGUUCGAGGUCUGGGGAAGCCUCGAACGCACCUAGCUCUUAAAAAAAUUCUCCACCUGCACCGGCCUCAAAUUUUCUUCUGUUGUGAAACCAAGAUGUUAGCUAGGCAGGUUGAAUCGGUUUGUAAAGAUUUUAACUUCGAGAAUUGUUUUACUGUAGAUAGAACGGGCAUGGGGGGAGGUCUAGCUUUGCUUUGGAGGGCAGAUGUUAAUGUUAGCAUUACCUCGUACAGCUCACAUCAUAUAGAUGCAAUAGUGAGUAGUGGAAGUGGUUUGAGGUGGAGAUGCACCGGGAUCUACAGCCAUCCUGAGCUCAGCCAGAAGCAUAAUACUUGGACUCUCAUGAAAAGGUUAGCCAGCCUAUUUUCCUAUCCUUGGUGCUGUUUUGGUGAUUUCAAUGAGAUAAUGCAUAUGCAUGAGAAAAACGGGGGCAACGAGAGAAACUUGAAUAGGGUCGCUGAGUUUAGGGAAGCUGUGCAAAGCUGCAAUUUGCAGGAUAUGGGGUGUAAGGGAUAUCCCUAUACGUGGUCAAACAAAAGAUACGGAGAUCAUUUUAUUGAGGAGAGAUUGGACCGUUUUCUGUGUAGUAAAGAUUGGGGGAUUAAUUUUCAAGAAUCCGUAGGCACAAAUCUAGUGAACUGGUCUUCGGACCACUGCCCAAUCAUUCUAGAUUUCCAUGAGCGAAGCAAAAUUUCAAGACAUGCGGGCAAAUCACUCCCCCGAGAUUAUUAUGAGGAUAUGUGGAGCUCCCACGAAGGCUGUAGGAGUAUAGUCCAGGAAGAGUGGAGUCGGUAUGGGGCUAGAGCUUGGGAAGCCCAUGUUCAGCAAUUUCAGCGAGUAGCCAAAUCUUCCUUGGCCCAGUUAAAACUUUGGAGCAAAACCGAAUUUAAUGGUAGGCAAAGAAAGCAAGAAAAGCUGAUGCAGAGCCUCCAGGAUGCUAUGAGAGGGAAUUCAAAGCUGGAUGAUGGCCAGGAAAUUAGGAGAUUGGAAAGUCAGAUUAACGCUAUGCUAGUUGAUGAGGAGAUUUACUGGAAACAACGUUCGAGGGCCGACUGGCUUAGAGAAGGGGAUAAGAACACGAAGUAUUUUCACGCCAAAGCAUCUGCCCGCAAAAGGAAGAACAAGGUGUGGGGGAUUGAGAAUGACCAGGGCAUUUGGUUGAAGGAAAGGGAUGAAAUAGAGGAGGAGAUUUGCAGCCAUUUCCAAGAGCUUUUCACUACUUCCAGCCCGACUCCAAGCCAAAUCCAAGCAACCCUUCAAGGCAUGUCAGCAAAAGUAACUCCGGAGAUGAAUGUUCAGCUGGAGAAGCCGUUCACCGCUGAAGAUGUUGAGGAAGCCCUUGCCAACAUGUGUCCCACAAAAGCCCCAGGGCCUGAUGGUCUUCCAGCUGCCUUCUUCCAGAAGCAUUGGAAAUCUGUCCGUAACGGAGUGAUCUCAACGUGCCUUAAUGUCCUUAAUGAGCAAGGUAACCCAUCUACCCUCAAUCACACCUUUAUAGCUUUGAUUCCAAAAAUUGCAAAUCCUAGGAAAGUGAGUGAUUAUAGACCUAUCAGCCUCUGUAAUGUUAUUUAUAGAGUUGUAGCUAAGGCCAUUGCAAAUAGAAUGAAGCCGAUCCUUUCCCAAAUCAUCUCCCCUAUGCAAAGUGCAUUCAUCCCCAAUAGGCUCAUUACCGACAAUGUUAUUAUUGGUUGAUCUCAACGUGCUUUAAUGUCCUUAAUGAGCAAGGUAACUCAUCUACCCUCAAUCACACCUUUAUAGCUUUGAUUCCAAAAGCCAGCCUAUUUUCCUAUCCUUGGUGCUGUUUUGGUGAUUUCAAUGAGAUAAUGCAUAUGCAUGAGAAAAACGGGGCAAUGAGAGAAACCUGAAUAGGGUUGCUGAGUUUAGGGAAGCUGUGCAAAGCUGCAAUUUGCAGGAUAUGGGGUGUAAGGGAUAUCCCUAUACGUGGUCAAACAAAAGAUACGGAGAUCAUUUUAUUGAGGAGAGAUUGGACCAUUUUCUGUGUAGUAAAGAUUGGGGGAUUAAUUUUCAAGAAUCUGUAGGCACAAAUCUAGUGAACUGGUCUUCGGACCACUGCCCAAUCAUUCUAAAUUUCCAUGAGCGAAGAAAAAAUUCGAGACAUGCGGGCAAAUCUCUCCCCCGAGAUUAUUAUGAGGAUAUGUGGAGCUCCCACGAAGGCUGUAGGAGUAUAGUCCAAGAAGAGUGGAGCCGGUAUGGGGCUAGAGCUUGGGAAGCCCUUGUUCAGCAAUUUCAGCGAAUAACCAAAUCUUCCUUGGCCCAGCUAAAACUUUGGAGCAAAACCGAAUUUCAUGGUAGGCAAAGAAAGCAAGAAAAGCUGAUGCAGAGCCUCCAGGAUGCUAUGAGAGGGAAUUCAAAGCUGGAUGAUGGCCAGGAAAUUAGGAGAUUGGAAAGUCAGAUUAACUCUAUGCUAGUUGAUGAGGAGAUUUACUGGAAACAACGUUCGAGGGCCGACUGGCUUAGAGAAGGGGAUAAGAACACGAAGUAUUUUCACGCCAAAGCAUCUGCCCGCAAAAGGAAGAACAAGGUGUGGGGGAUUGAGAAUGACCAGGGCAUUUGGUUGAAGGAAAUGGAUGAAAUCCGCCUUGGCCGUACAGCAGUUGAUAAUAUUAAAAAAAAUUAAAUACGCAAAUAAUUUAGGAAAAUUUAUACUAAUUUAUUAUAUUUAUUUAUUAUUAUACUAAUAUUAUUAUAACAUUUUAAAGUCAUUUUCUAGGCUACUAUGAAAAUUAAGCUUCCUUCAUGUCGCGACAAAUUUACUCUUUCUUAAGGUGCGUUUGGAGUAACUGUACUGCCGCAGCAUAAGUGUUGCAGUCCCUAUACUGCUGUACGGCCAAGGCGGAUGUACGGUACAGCAGAAUUGGACAUUAGUAAGGCUUAUGAUAGAGUUGAGUGGCCUUUUUUGGAACAAACUAUGCUAAAGAUGGGGUUUCCUAGUCAUUCGGUAGCUUUGAUAAUGAGAUGUGUUACUUCCACUUCAUUCUCGGUGCUAAUUAAUGGUGUGCCUAAGGGAAUGAUCCAGCCAGAAAGAGGCUUGCGACAGGGCUGCCCGCUAUCCCCGUACCAUUUUAUCCUUUAUGCAGAGGCUCUCUCCAAUUUGCUGGUUGUGGUAGAACAGAACCAGCUAAUCCGAGGGCUUAAAUUUGCGCGGGAAGUUUCAAUUACGCACUUGCUGUUUGCGGACGAUAGCUUGGUAUUCUCUCGUGCAUCAGUGGCUGAAUGCAGGCAUUUAAAAGGAAUCUUUGAUAAAUAUGCUGCAGCAUCAGGGCAGAUUUUUAAUUUCUAGAAAUCCUCAUUGUUCUUCAGUGGAAAAAUUCCAGAGCAUCAGCGGGCUGCUAUAAGGGGUAUCUUUAAUCUAAAUGUAGUCUCAAAGCACGAGAAAUACCUCGGUCUACCAUCAAUGAUUGGGAGAAAAAAGAUGGGGUUCUUUAAUGACAUCAAGCUGAAAGUGUUGAACAAGAUUGCAGGAUGGCAGCAAAAAUUUUUGUCUAGUGGGGGGAAGGAAGUUCUGAUCAAAGCGGCAGCCCAAGCAAUUCCGGCGUAUGCAAUGAGUGUUUUCAAGCUCCCAAGAGGCUUUUGUGAUGAUAUUCAGCGAGCUAUAGCGAAGUUCUGGUGGGGCUCGAAAGGGGAUAAGCGCGGAAUCCAUUAGCAGAAAUGGGAGAAGCUCAGCCAGGCAAAGAUUAGAGGGGGGCUGGGAUUUCGAGAGUUUUCUUGCUUCAAUCAAGCGCUGGUAGCUAAGCAAGCUUGGAGGUUACUGCAGUACCCAAAUUCGCUGGUCUCCAGAGUCCUUCAAGCAAGAUAUUUCAGGAAUUCCUGCUUUUUAUGUGCAAAGGCAAGAGCCAAUGCCUCGUAUAUUUGGAGAAGCAUCAUGUGGGGUAGGCAGGUGAUUAAGAAGGGUAUGAGAUGGCGGAUAGGUAAUGGCAAGAAGGUACCAAUUUUCUCGGAUAACUGGCUGCCAAGACCAGAGACCUUCAGGCCUAUCUUCCCUCCAUCUUUGCCCGUAAGCUCAAUUGUUGUAGAUUUAAUUAAGGCUGAUAAUCAAUGGGAUGAAAUAAAGCUUCAACAGCACUUCAUGGAUAUAGACACAGCAGAGAUCCUCAAGAUUCCCCUCCCAGUUGAGAAAAAAGAAGAUGAAGUUCUUUGGCAUUACGACAAAAGAGGGAACUACUCUGUCAAGAGUGGGUAUCAGCUAGCAUUGAGAUCAAAAUUUCCAGUUUCCACUCGCUGCACAGAGGCUUCCCACAAGUACUGGAGUGCUCUUUGGACACUGGAGUUGCUUGAGAAGCUUAAAAUUUUCAUGUGGAAGCCCUCUAAUAAUCUGCUUCCAUCGGCGGAAAAUCUGUGGAAAAGGAAGGUAGUGGAGGAGCCAACUUGUAAGCGAUGCAAACUAAGUGUUGAGACUAUCAGCCAUGCUCUCUUGGAGUGUAAGGCAGCGAGAAAAAUUUGGCUCCAAUCCCCCUUUUCAGCCCCUAGAUUAGAAGCCAAUUCUCAGGACAUUUUCAGCACUUUGCAAAAUAUGGCUAAGGAGCUGAGGAAAUCAAAUCUGGAAUUAAUGGUAGCUCUGUGUUGGUCUGCCUGGUAUGCUAGGAACAAAUGUAUCUUCGAUGGCAAGGAGAUUAAUCCUAUUAUAUCAACUGCUAAAGCAGAGUCUGUUUUGUCAGCUUUUCAGAGAGUUAGGAAGCCCAGCAAGCUCACAUCUCUAUCUUCAUAAAAGAGAAGCAGCAGGAGUGGCUCCCCCCUCCCCAGAAUGUUUUAAAAGUUAAUGUGGAUGCUGUUCUUAAUUCAAAGAAUCUGAGUGCAGGAGUGGGAGCUGUGAUUAAAGACUCUAAUGGAAAGAUAGUUGCGGCUAAGGUAAAUCAGAACCUCCUAAAGGGGUCAGCUAGCUUGGCUGAAGCAGAGGCGGUGCUUUGGGGCCUUCAGCUGGCAAGAAAGGCGGAUGUAUCCUCUUUGAUUAUUGAGUCUGAUUGUUUAGAGGUGGUCCAGCUAGUGAACAACACCAAGGGCAGCAGAUCAGAAAUUUUUUGGACAAUUCUGGCAAUCCAAAAUCAGAUGAAGAACUUCCAGAAAGUGGUUGUCAAUCACAUUCUAAGACAUUGUAAUGCUUGUGCCCAUUUCCUAGCUAAGAUAGCUUUGGGGAAAAUCUCUCCAUGUAUGUGGCUGGGAAAUAUUCCAGCUGAAUUGUAUGGUAUUUUCAAGGUGUUGUGAUUAAUGAAAUGUUUACUUUCUUUUCAAAAAAAAAGAACUAUAUACAUGACAGAGGCACAAAAUGACAAAUUUUAUACAAAAGGGGCAUUCCAAAGAAAAAAAAAACAUAAACAUUGUCAAAAUUUUAAAUGCAUUUGCUUAGGCACUUCAUUUGCUCUUCGUCCCAUGGUCCGUCCGAAACACUGUGCAUCUG